AACAGUUCAACACAAAGACAACAUGGAAUGAAAAAUCACAAGCUACUGUUGCCUACAAUCACCCAGGUCUGCAGCACGCCUCAACACCUGAAUAGUAUAACAGCACAAAGGAUGGGUUCCUACAUCUCUACAGAUCACCCAAAAACCGGAAGAAAAAAACCCGAGCAGACCUACAUACAGAUAUCCAUCUAGUUAUGCAGAAAACUUGAAAGAAAAGACUGUGCAUAGGCAUCAACAUUUAGGAAUCACAUACAACAUUGGGAGCUCUUAGACUUAAAUUAUUCAACAAUCUAAGCUACAAGCAAAAACACUGUAAUCUAAGUAAGUGGUGUGUUCAGUGUUUGCUAGUCUGUACCUCCAAUGUAGAAGCUCAUGUAGGGCAUGGCCUUUUUGAUGUGUCCCUCUACAUUUACGUGGUUGCAUCGUCUUGAACUGAGCUCAAUUGUGUACAACCCAGAUUGUGUGCUCACGAAGAUGACACCGACACCUUCCGCAAAACC
rnacentral:lncRNA from 1 species